UGUUCUCUAUCUGAAUCUCUCUCAUUUCAGAGACUUACUGCCAUCAGCUUAUUUGGGCUUUGCUCUUUGGGGUUUAUGUUAGUGUCUACAGGCAAGGUUCCUUGAGGACGGUUGUUCAAAGCCAUGGACAGCUAUCCCAGCUGCGUUUCUUUAUGGCUGAAUCAUGCACUGCCAAUUUUUCCUACACUUUACUAUUUGUCCCAAUGAGUUGCUGAAGCAUACCCUUAAUUUCCACCAUAUUUUUAUCUUGCUGCUGAGGAUGCGGUUGAUAAAGUAAUUGUUCUUGGUUUUGCUGUCGAUAGCCCUGUGGUUUCUGAUAUAGUACUGGCACUAAUUGGUUUUUAGGGUGCAUACCCCCAGGCUGUUACAUAUUAGGCAUGUACUGCUGAUUUUGCUGCGGUCUCCAUUGAUGUGCUCCGUGUCUCUGCACCCCAUAGUUGUUGACAUAAUUCAUAUCCUCUCGUGCCCCUUGAUUAUCACCAUCUCCGCUCCAUGAACACACAUACGACUGUUUAAUACAAGGUGUACAUAGUCCUUCAUUCGUUGUAUCAACAAUGCGCACCUGUUUUGUACCCAUCUCAUUAAUUUUCUUUAUCAUGAUGCUUACCUAGGUCAUGAGUGUGGCCAUGUUCUCUACAUGCGAAUUAUUGGGAUCAAGCGGGGCUGAAUGCAUUAUGGGUGCCAGUGUUGUACCUCUAGCCAUCCACCCAGAAUUUUGUAACAUCUUAUCGAGAAGUAUUUUGUAGUCGAUGAAUGUUUUGCUUAAGAAAGCACCUCCAGCUGAAGCAUCCACAUUCGCUUUCAAGUUGUCAGCUAGACCGAUGUAGAAUCUCCGGUCGAGCAUCUUGUCUGGAAUGCCAUGAUGAGGACACUUCACUAGCAUCGUUUUAAAUCAUCCCAAGUUUCUUGCAUGGACUUAGUUGGUUGCUGCUUAUUCUGCAAUAUUUCAUCAAUUUGUCUUGCAGUCUUGUUAGGCGGAUAGAAC
rnacentral:lncRNA from 1 species